UAUUAAUGUCCAAAAAAAGAAACAAUAUUACAAAAAGGGUAAUAUUGUAAAAGUAAGUUAAAAAGAAUAUAAAAUAAUGGCAGGGGUGUCAAUAGUUUAACGAUAUAGAUGUUUUAAAAUAUUUUUAAAAAUAUAGAAACUAAACAAGUACUAAUCUUAAAAUAUAGAGACUAAACAAACUUUUACCCUUGCUAAAACUUAAAGCUUACACUUUGUGUCCACAAGCUUUCUUUCGCUUGAAUAAAUGGCCGAAACUGAACACAAAUUGGGCCGGAAGUUGGGCUGGGCCCCAACAAAUUCUCUUACGCAGUUUGAGGUUCAUCUAACUUUUAACAAAAAUUCAAAAUAGUUGAAAACUUUUCUUUUGAAAUUGUAUCAAGGUAAAUGUCGGAUUGCCCACUUGAAAAUUGAGUAUUUUCAAAUCACUAUCUUAUUUUUUAAAAUCAUAAAGAUAAAGACAAAAUGGGUGUGAGUUGAUUUUUUUUUUUUAAUCUUCUUAACAAAAAUAAAAUAAAUUGAAAAUUUUCAAAAGUAAGAGAGUAAUUUUUAAGAUAAUUAAUUCAUGAGAGGUAAUCUAAAAUCAUCCCAUCUAUUGAUAAACUAUUUACAUAAAUGAAGACAUUGUGUUUCGUCGAAAGUUUAUUAAAAGUUAGAUAAUCAAAUGUCAAUAUUCGAAUAAAAAGUUGAUAAUGACCAUUAUACUUUUUAGCAUAUAUUAAGGAAGGUCAACACCAAACAAAAAAAAAAAAAAAAAAAAAAAAAGAGAGAGAGAUGCACUCGACAAAGCGAGGGUAGGUCGAUGGAGUUGCAUGAGAAUUUGAUAAUUUUUGCUAAUAAUUUUCCCAUUUGUUUUUUAAAGGGCGACGACGGGAGUUGCGUGAGAAAGGAGAAAUGAAUCAUGAUUCAUGAAUGGAGCACCAAAAAAUCAAAUAGAGUUAAUGAAAAUGGGAAUCCGGAUCCCAAAAUUAAACCUUAAUAAAUGACGUUUUGUCUGGACACGCGUAACGUUCUCAACUCCCCAUGUCAAAAAGAACGAACCACGCCAUGCACCGCACGUGACCUUCAUUUUUAUUUUCUUUUAAAUAAAUCUUUGGCGAUGAUUUUUAUGAUCGUUAUUUUUAUUAUUGUUAUUAUUGGAAGAUUAAGCUACUAUCGUUGUCUUAAAGCUCUUCUAUAAAAUUUUAAUAACGUUGAAGUGGACUUGUAUAGAAAAAGG
rnacentral:lncRNA from 1 species